rnacentral:lncRNA from 1 species
CGAAUCUCAGGACCCAGACCAAGCCGCUCUGCCAUGUCACGCCCGAUACCUUGGAAGUUUGUUUCGGGAACAGAUGUGACUGAUUUCAUUGGGUGACCCUCAGUUUAUGGCUCGGACGCACAUCUGCCUUAUCUGGUAAAGUCCGAAUUUUCUAUCUCCCAAGUUGUAAAUUUUACGAUGCGGACCUCAUCAAGAGGCUGAUUAACACCCUAAGCGAUCGAUGAAUCCGCUCUAAAGUAAACAUCUGGUAUCAAUCAAAAACACCAGAGGAUAUGCGCACACGAGGGUGAGAAGGAAAACCCCAGGACGCGGAGUUAGUACAUAAGGACCAGGCAAGGCUUCUUCAGAGAGUGUAAAACAAGUCUUCAAACAGUUCACCGUACAGUCAUACUCUUCGCGUUAUACUAAACAGUGAAAAUAAAUACACUAAACGUCA